rnacentral:rRNA from 1 species
GACGAACGCUGGCGGCGUGCCUAAUACAUGCAAGUAGAACGCUGAAGAGAGGAGCUUGCUCUUCUUGGAUGAGUUGCGAACGGGUGAGUAACGCGUAGGUAACCUGCCUUGUAGCGGGGGAUAACUAUUGGAAACGAUAGCUAAUACCGCAUAACAAUGGAUGACCCAUGUCAUUUAUUUGAAAGGGGCAACUGCUCCACUACAAGAUGGACCUGCGUUGUAUUAGCUAGUAGGUGAGGUAACGGCUCACCUAGGCGACGAUACAUAGCCGACCUGAGAGGGUGAUCGGCCACACUGGGACUGAGACACGGCCCAGACUCCUACGGGAGGCAGCAGUAGGGAAUCUUCGGCAAUGGGGGCAACCCUGACCGAGCAACGCCGCGUGAGUGAAGAAGGUUGUCGGAUCGUAAAGCUCUGUUGUAAGUCAAGAACGAGUGUGAGAGUGGAAAGUUCACACUGUGACGGUAGCUUACCAGAAAGGGACGGCUAACUACGUG